rnacentral:rRNA from 1 species
UACGAAGGGGGCUAGCGUUGUUCGGAAUUACUGGGCGUAAAGCGCACGUAGGCGGAUUGUUAAGUUAGGGGUGAAAUCCCGGGGCUCAACCCCGGAACUGCCUUUAAUACUGCAAUCUCGAGUCCGAGAGAGGUGAGUGGAAUUCCGAGUGUAGAGGUGAAAUUCGUAGAUAUUCGGAGGAACACCAGUGGCGAAGGCGGCUCACUGGCUCGGUACUGACGCUGAGGUGCGAAAGCGUGGGGAGCAAACAGG